UUAUCGGUGAAAGAUGAGCAUGCGUCCCAUUAGUUAUUUGGUAAGGUAACGGCUUACCAAGACUACGAUGGGUAGGGGUCCUGAGAGGGAGAUCCCCCACACUGGUACUGAGACACGGACCAGACUCCUACGGGAGGCAGCAGUGAGGAAUAUUGGACAAUGGGCGCAAGCCUGAUCCAGCCAUGCCGCGUGCAGGAUGACGGUCCUAUGGAUUGUAAACUGCUUUUAUACGAGAAGAAACACUGGUUCGUGAACCAGCUUGACGGUAUCGUAAGAAUAAGGAUCGGCUAACUCCGUGCCAGCAGCCGCGGUAAUACGGAGGAUCCAAGCGUUAUCCGGAAUCAUUGGGUUUAAAGGGUCCGUAGGCGGUCAGAUAAGUCAGUGGUGAAAGCCCAUCGCUCAACGGUGGAACGGCCAUUGAUACUGUCUGACUUGAAUUAUUAGGAAGUAACUAGAAUAUGUAGUGUAGCGGUGAAAUGCUUAGAGAUUACAUGGAAUACCAAUUGCGAAGGCAGGUUACUACUAAUAUAUUGACGCUGAUGGACGAAAGCGUGGGUAGCGAACAGGAUUAGAUACCCUGGUAGUCCACGCCGUAAACGAUGGAUACUAGC
rnacentral:rRNA from 1 species